CCAAUCUUCUUGCGGUCAUUCAUUUCAAAGGAAACCAUCUUGAUGUUGCUUCAAGUACUUGAUUACGUUCACUUAGACAAAAUCUGGAAAAAAAACGGAAGCUCGGAUUCUUCGUUCGAAAGCCCUCUAAAAUGACCUGUGAUGCGUGCUUGAGAGAGAAGCGAAGACGAGGAUGAGACAAGCGAAUAGCAGAAGAAAGGAAAUGUCAG
rnacentral:misc_RNA from 1 species